GUGCCAGCCGCCGCGGUAACACCAGCCCCUCGAGUGGUGGGGACGUUUAUUUGGCCUAAAGCGUCCGUAGCCGGCCGGGUAAGUCUCCCGUUAAAUCCAGCGUCUCAAGCGUUGGGCUGCGGGAGAUACUGUCCGGCUAGAGAGUGGGAGAGGUCAGCGGUAUUCCUGGGGUAGGGGCGAAAUCCUUUGAUCCCAGGAGGACCACCAGUGGCGAAGGCUGCUGACUAGAACACGUCUGACGGUCAGGGACGAAAGCUGGGGUAGCGAACCGGAUUAGAUACCCGGGUAGUCCCAGCCGUAAACGAUGCAUGCUAGGUGUUGGGUUGGCCACGAGCCACCCCAGUGCCGCAGGGAAGCCGUUAAGCAUGCCGCCUGGGGAGUACGGUCGCAAGACUGAAACUUAAAUGAAUUGACGGGG
rnacentral:rRNA from 1 species